GUCAACCUGGUUAGCUUUGUCCCUAUGUCCUUUUGCCUUCUUUCAAACUUCAUUUCAUUCUUUCAAACUUGCUUUUCUUUCCCUUUUCUCUUUAACAGCUUGUGAGCUCUCAUCCUUGCGUUCAUCUUUCACCAUGCUUGCCCUCUCCAAUGGUUGACCGGUUGCCAUGCCAAGGGCCAUGCUGAUCCAUGCCAUCAUCUGGGGUUUGGAGCUUUAAAAGGAUGGCUAAGCUUUCUUCUAAGCAAAUUAGGAGGAAGUUCUAGCAGUAGCUUAGCAAGCUAUGAAGUAUGAAGUUCCCUAGUGUAGUUGACUUGUUAAUUAUGUCUUGUUGUAGGCCUUGAAUAUUGCAUAUUGAACUUAAUUGUUUUUUUGUUA